UACAGAGACUGCAAGCGUUAUUCGGAUUCACUGGGCGUAAAGGGUGCGCAGGUGGCCAAGUGUGUUAGGCGUGAAAGUCCGGGGCUUAACCCCGGAAUUGCACCUAAAACUACUAGGCUAGAGCAUUGGAGAGGGGAGCAGAAUUCAUGGUGUAGCAGUGAAAUGCGUAGAUAUCAUGAGGAAUACCAGAGGCGAAGGCGGCUCCCUGGACAAUUGCUGACACUCAGGCACGAAAGCGUGGGGAGCAAAAGGG
rnacentral:rRNA from 1 species